CUCUGGGAAGUUCCAGGUUGGCCCUCCCAUCAGGGACAGCCACCGACGCUGCUGAGGGACCCAUCACAGAUUCCAGCAAUGUCCUCUUCAAGAACUGCGUCUGCUGAGUGCCCAGGCAGCCCCACAUGCCAUCCCUCUACCUGGCCCCCUGGGCUCCGAUGGGCUGAAGCUCUGCCCGCAGAAUCUGCCUGUGCAUGGAGCAAAGCGAGACGGAGGUUGGGCAGCUGAAGGAGCAGCCCCAGCUGUGACUUGGCUAGAGCCAGGGUGGACAUCAUCCUGGUGCUUUACCAUCACCACAAUGGCCAUAUGCAUUACUAAGGACCCGCUGCAGAUGAGGCACUAUGCCAAGUGCUCCACAUUCGUUAACACAGUAAACUCUCCCAGCGACUUCCAAAGGGAGACAUUGUUCCCAUUUUACAGAAGAUGGAAAAGGAGGCACCUGCUGGUGAAGAAACUUGCCUGAGGGCUGGCUGAGUGGCUCAGUUGGUUAAGAGCGCAAGCU